rnacentral:rRNA from 1 species
CCUACGGGCGGCAGCAGUGGGGAAUAUUGGACAAUGGGGGGAACCCUGAUCCAGCCAUGCCGCGUGUGUGAAGAAGGCCCUCGGGUUGUAAAGCACUUUCAGUGAGGAAGAACGCCUGGUGGUUAAUACCCAUCAGGAAAGACAUCACUCACAGAAGAAGCACCGGCUAACUCCGUGCCAGCAGCCGCGGUAAUACGGAGGGUGCGAGCGUUAAUCGGAAUUACUGGGCGUAAAGCGCGCGUAGGUGGCUUGAUAAGCCGGUUGUGAAAGCCCCGGGCUCAACCUGGGAACGGCAUCCGGAACUGUCAAGCUAGAGUGCAGGAGAGGAAGGUAGAAUUCCCGGUGUAGCGGUGAAAUGCGAUGAGAUCGGGAGGAAUAACAGUGGCGAAGGCGGCCUUCUGGACUGACACUGACACUGAGGUGCGAAAGCGUGGGUAGCAAACAGGAAUAGAUACCCUUGUAGUC